rnacentral:rRNA from 1 species
UACGUAGGGUGCGAGCGUUGCCCGGAUUUAUUGGGCGUAAAGGGCGCGUAGGCGGCCACGCACGUCCGUUGUGAAAUCGCCCGGCUCAACUGGGCGGGUCAGCGGAUACGGUGUGGCUCGAGCAAGCUAGGGGCAAUGGAAUUCCCGGUGUAGUGGUGGAAUGCGUAGAUAGUCGGGAGGAACACCAGUGGCGAAGGCGGUUGCCUGGAGCUUUGCUGACGCUGAGGCGCGAAAGCGUGGGGAGCGAGUCCGG